UUGACCUCAAAUCAGGUAGGACUACCCGCUGAACUUAAGCAUAUCAAUAAGCGGAGGAAAAGAAACUAACAAGGAUUCCCCUAGUAACUGCGAGUGAAGCGGGAAGAGCUCAAAUUUGAAAUCUGGCGGUCCUUGGCCGUCCGAGUUGUAAUCUAGAGAAGUGCUACCUGUGCUGGACCGUGUACAAGUCUCCUGGAAUGGAGCAUCGCAGAGGGUGAGAAUCCCGUCUUUGACACGGACUGCCAUGUACGUCAUGGUGCGCUCUCGAAGAGUCGAGUUGUUUGGGAAUGCAGCUCAAAAUGGGUGGUAAAUGCCAUCUAAAGCUAAAUAUUGGCGAGAGACCGAUAGCGAACAAGUACCGUGAGGGAAAGAUGAAAAGAACUUUGGAAAGAGAGUUAAACAGUACGUGAAAUUGCUGAAAGGGAAACGCUUGAAGUCAGUCGCGUCGGCCAGAAAUCAGCCUUUGCUUUUGCUUGGUGUACUUUCUUGGUUGAUGGGUCAGCAUCAAUUUCGACCGUCGGAUAAAGUCGUCGGGAAUGUGGCAUCUUCGGAUGUGUUAUAGCCCGGCGUCGCAUACGGUGGUUGGGAUUGAGGAACUCAGCACGCCGAAAGGCCGGGUCUCUCGAGACCACGUCCGUGCUUAGGAUGCUGGCAUAAUGGCUUUAAUCGACCCGUC
rnacentral:rRNA from 2 species